CCUGGCGGCCUUAGCGCGGUGGUCCCACCUGACCCCAUGCCGAACUCAGAAGUGAAACGCCGUAGCGCCGAUGGU
rnacentral:rRNA from 1 species